UAAGCGGAGGAAAAGAAACUAACUAGGAUUCCCUUAGUAACGGCGAGUGAACCGGGAUGAGCUCAAAUUUAAAAUCUGGCGUCUUUCAGGCGUCCGAGUUGUAAUCUAUAGAGGCGUUUUCCGCGCCGGACCGCGUCCAAGUCUCUUGGAAUAGAGUAUCAAAGAGGGUGACAAUCCCGUACUUGACGCGACAACCGGUGCUCUGUGAUACGUUCUCAAUGAGUCGAGUUGUUUGGGAAUGCAGCUCUAAAUGGGUGGUAAAUUCCAUCUAAGGCUAAAUAUUGGCGAGAGACCGAUAGCGAACAAGUACCGUGAGGGAAAGAUGAAAAGCACUUUGGAAAGAGAGUUAAACAGCACGUGAAAUUGUUAAAAGGGAAACGAUUGAAGUCAGUCGUGUGAAAGGUAUUCAGCCGUCUCUGGCGGUGUAUUUGCCUUUCACGGGUCAACAUCAGUUUGAUCCGGUAGAAAAAGGCAGGAGGAAGGUGGCACCCUCGGGUGUGUUAUAGCCUCUUGUCAUAUGUGCCGGACCAGACUGAGGAACGCAGCUUGCCGCAAGGCCGGGGUUCGCCCACGUACAAGCUUAGGAUGUUGACAUAAUGGCUUUAAACGACCCGUCUUGAAACACG
rnacentral:rRNA from 1 species